AAGACUGUACUUCCAGGGAUCGUUUCCAUGGUUUGUUGCUAGAGAAGCUUCUCUGAACACGGAGAGCACCCGCAACCACGAGGAGGAGAUGGCGUGUUCUCUCCUGAGCGCGAAGCCAGGUCUUGGUGUUGCUUCCGUAACUGCCGUUUGCCAUUGAUGAUUGUUUGUCUUUCUCCUUGGAGGAAGUAAGAGGGAGAGAACACCAUCUGAGUGGU